CCGGGGCUUGGAGACUCAGACGUGGCCGGCGUGGCCCGUCGCCCCCACACGUGAGGACGGCGAGUCCCGUGACCCCACCCAGGCCCGCGGACCCCAUGGGGGCCCCCGACCCCCUCCCUGCUGCAGCCCCAGGCGCUUCGGGGGUGCGGGGGAACUCGAAGCAGGAUUCCAGGGACACAUUUACGACCGUCAUAAUUGUGAGUUAGAGAUCUCCCAGGCCAAGUGAAAUGAAAUUACGAGAAACUGAAAUCUGUUUUAAUUGGAGCAUUUAUGGAAAAAAAGAAGUCAGACUGGCUGCUUUUUCCUUUAUGUGGCUCUCCGGUUCGGGGCCGUACCUGCGUCCGGGAGCCCGGGGCCGGCCAGACUCGGGCGGCCACAGAGCGGGGAGGAAGAGAGAGAGAGAGAGAGAAGAGAGAGAGAAUGAGGCAGAGACAGCCCUGCCCCUCCUCGGCCACCCUGCAGGCGGUGCCCAGCCGGCACUUCCUCCUCUUUCCCGGGAAACACUCCCGGCUUCCCGCUCCCGGGCGCCUCUCGGAGACGCUGUGACAGGCGCCCACGGGAUGCUCUCUGGAGUGGUCCCUGGCGGGCGGGGGGCAUGGCCUGCCGGGCGACCCCGCCCCCCUUCCACACACACACGCACACACGCACACACACCGUGCAGUGCCGGGGCUGGGGGAGUCCUUGCACACCUUCCAGCAUCAUGGCACAGAUGGAGAAACUGA
rnacentral:lncRNA from 1 species